rnacentral:rRNA from 1 species
UACGUAGGGUGCAAGCGUUGUCCGGAAUUAUUGGGCGUAAAGAGCUCGUAGGCGGUCUGUCGCGUCGGCUGUGAAAUCCCGGAGCUCAACUCCGGGUCUGCAGUCGAUACGGGCAAACUGGAGUACUGCAGGGGAGACUGGAAUUCCUGGUGUAGCGGUGAAAUGCGCAGAUAUCAGGAGGAACACCGGUGGCGAAGGCGGUUAGCUGGGCAGUUGCUGACACUGAGGCGCGACAGCGUGGGGAGCAAACAGG